GAGGCGGUCUGGGCCGGGCCGGGCCUGACCCCUGCGUCCCGGGGGCACAGGCGUUCUUAAGGCUGCAGAGCCCUGGGUCCCCCACCCGGCCCCGGUUCACUUUGAGCGGUCCCAAGGCCUGAGGGCCUACUGUCCAGUCCCCAGGUUAUCGUCCUGAGCAAAGACAGACCCCGAGCCCUGCGGUCUUGGGGCUCAAACAGUCCCUGGAUGGCCAAACAAGCAAAUAUUCGCCAUGGCAGUGGGUGCUGGAAGGGUGGCUCACGGAGCUGACGCCCUCCGCAGAGAACCGUGGUCUAGUCCUGCGGUCACGAGGCCUAUCUGGGACAGUGGUGUUUGAGCUGAGACUUUAACGAAUAGAGACAGGUGAGGUUCCUGCAGCCCAGGGCUUCAGCGUGAACAACCCCAGAAGGAAAAAGAGUGCUGUUGUUAAAGGUAUCUGGCAUCAUGGACCCAACCAUCACCAGGAGUUUCUCACUUCAUCUCUGUGUGAUAAAUUUUGACAUAUGUAUACAUCCAUGAAGCCGGCACCACAAUCAAGAUAAUGAACAUCUCGCUUACCCCAGAAGUUUCCUGUGCCCUGUCACUCCUCCGUAUUCCUCCAUCCUCAGGAUUUCAUCAAAUGGUCUGCUGCACUGUGCUGGAAUUUUGAACUCCCCAGAGUAGUAAACAACAUCUUCUCAAGGGUAUACAAGUCAUCAGAUAGAGAAAACACCCAUUAUAGAGCUGUGGAGCCCUUACGAUAUAGUGCUAUGCUGCAACAAAUUAGACAGAAGAGUAUUUGUUGAAUAAUAAAAGAGUCUCACUCUAUUGCCCAGGCUGGAGUGCAGUGGCAUGAUCUCGGUACACUGCAAGCUCUGUCUCCUGAGUUCAAGCGAUUCUCAUGCCUCAGCCUCCCGAGUAGCUGGGAUUACAGUUUUCCAAUAAUAACAUAGAAAAAAGGAAGAAUUUGAGAGUUUCUCAGAUUAGGCAAUUCCUUGAAGAAUCUGAGAACACAGAAGCUCCCCUCCCUACUUUCCAUGAUUGAAAUCAGUGAUUCAUUGGUUUCUUUGUGUGGGCUUUUGAAAGAUCAUUAGAAACCAACCUGAAGAUCAUGAGAUUCUUGUGGACACAGGAGCAAUGAGUGGCAAUACAGUGCUUUCUAAUGCAACCUACUUUAAAAGGUAAACAGAUAAAAGAAAAUACCGAAGACUGAAAAUGCAGAAAAUUCAACCAUGCAGCCCAUUCCAAAUUAAAUAUGUCUUCCUCUCUAAUUCCUCUCUUCUAGCAGAGAAGGGGAGAUGAGCUAUGACUCCAUGCUCAUGCUUAACAAAAUUGUGUUAGAUUGGUGCAAAAGUAAUUGCAGUUUUUGCCAUUUAAAAGUAAUUGCAAUGUUAUCUCCUAGAAUUUUUAUAGUUUCAGGUCUUAAGUUUAAGUCCUUAAUCCAUCUUGAGCUGAUUUUUUGUAUAGGGCUGGACGUUCGCUUAGGCAAGGAUUUCAUGACCAACAACCUGAAAGGAAAUGCAAUAAAAACAAAGAUAAAUAGCUGGAACCUAGUUAAACUAAAGAGCUUUUGCAUGGCAAAAAGAAGAGUCAGCAGAGCAAACAGAUAACAAACAGAGUGGGAGAAAACCUUCAUAAUCUGUACAUCUGACAAAGUGCUAAUAUCCAGAAUCUACAAUGAACUCAAACAAAUCAGUAAGAAAAAAACAAUUCCAUCAGAAAGUGGCUAAGGAUAUGAAUAGGCAAUUCUCAAAAGAAGAUAUACAAAUGGCCAACAAACAUAGGAAAAAACGCUCAACAUCACAAAUGAUCAGGGAAAUGCAAAUCAAAACCACAAUGCGAUACCACCUCACUCCUGCAAGAAUGGCCAUAAUUAAAAAAAAAAAUCAAAAAACAGUAGAUGUUAGCAUGGAUGCGGUGAACAGGGAACACUUCUACACUGCUGGUGGGAAUGUAAACUAGUAAAGCCACUAUGGAAAACAGUGUGGAGAUUCCUUGAAGAAUUAAAAGUAGAACUACCAUUUGAUCCAGCAAUCCCACUACUGGGUAUCUACCCAGAGGAAAAGAAGUCACUAUUCAAAAAAGAUACUUGCACACACAUGUUUAUAGUGGCACAAUUCAAAAUAGCAAAAUCGUGGAACCAACCCAAAUGCCCAUCAAUCAACAAGUGGAUAAAGAAACUGUGGUAUGUAUAUAUAAUGGAAUACUAUGCAGCCAUAAAAAGGAAUGAAUUAACAGCAUUUGCAGUGACCUGAAUGAGAUUGGAAACUUAUUCUAAGUAAAGUAACUCAGGAAUGGAAAACCAAACAUCAUAUCUUCUCACAGAUAUAUGGGAACUAAGUUAUGAGGACUCAAAGGCAUAAGAAUGAUACAAUGGACUUUGGGGACUUGGGGGGAAGGGUGAGAAGUGGGUGAGGUAUAAAACACUACAAAUAUGCUGCGGUGUAUACUGCGCAGGUGAUGGGUGCACGAAAAUCUCACAAAUCAUCCCUAAAGAACUUACUCAUGUAACCAAAUACCAUCUAUACCUCAAUAACUUAUGGGGAAAAAAGUAAUUGCAAAAACUGCAAUUACCUUUGCAUGAACCAAAGGCCUACUUUGGAGAGUCAGAGGAAUUCUUAACCAUAAUUCAACCAAGACAUACGGUAUGUGCCUUCUCUUUGGUGGAACAGUGAAUAUACAGGCUACUAGCCUGUACUGAGUGUUUCAGCCAAAACACAUUCUUUUAAAAGUCAC
ensembl:lncRNA SUCLG2-DT SUCLG2 divergent transcript